rnacentral:rRNA from 1 species
GAAGAAGGACGGGACUAACACCGAUAUGCUUUGGGGAGCUGUACGUAAGCGUUGAUCCAGAGAUUUCCGAAUGGGGGAACCCACUAUCUUUAGUCGGAUAGUAUCCUUACGUGAAUACAUAGCGUGAGGAAGGCAGACCCAGGGAACUGAAACAUCUAAGUACCUGGAGGAAGAGAAAGAAAAAUCGAUUUCCUGAGUAGCGGCGAGCGAAACGGAAAGAGCCCAAACCAAGAAGCUUGCUUCUUGGGGUUGUAGGACACUCUAUACGGAGUUACAAAAGAAAGUUAUAAAUGAAGCGGUCUGGAAAGGCCCGCCAAAGACGGUAACAGCCCGGUAGUUGAAAUGGCUUUCCCUCCAGAGUGGAUCCUGAGUACGGCGGAACACGUGAAAUUCCGUCGGAAUCCGGGAGGACCAUCUCCCAAGGCUAAAUACUCCCUAGUGACCGAUAGUGAACCAGUACCGUGAGGGAAAGGUGAAAAGCACCCCGGAAGGGGAGUGAAACAGUUCCUGAAACCGUGUGCCUACAAGUAGUUAGAGCCCGUUAAUGGGUGAUAGCGUGCCUUUUGUAGAAUGAACCGGCGAGUUACGAUUUGUUGCAAGGUUAAGCGGAAAAAGCGGAGCCGUAGCGAAAGCGAGUCUGAAUAGGGCGCAUAAGUAACAGGUCGUAGACCCGAAACCAGGUGAUCUACCCAUGUCCAGGAUGAAGGUAAGGUAAUACUUACUGGAGGUCCGAACCCACGCACGUUGAAAAGUGCGGGGAUGAGGUGUGGGUAGCGGAGAAAUUCCAAUCGAACUUGGAGAUAGCUGGUUCUCUCCGAAAUAGCUUUAGGGCUAGCCUCGAGGUAAAGAGUCAUGGAGGUAGAGCACUGUUUGGACUAGGGGCCCUUCUCGGGUUACCGAAUUCAGAUAAACUCCGAAUGCCAUGUACUUAUACUCGGGAGUCAGACUGCGAGUGAUAAGAUCCGUAGUCGAAAGGGAAACAGCCCAGACCACCAGUUAAGGUCCCCAAAUAUAUGUUAAGUGGAAAAGGAUGUGGGGUUGCUUAGACAACCAGGAUGUUGGCUUAGAAGCAGCCACCAUUGAAAGAGUGCGUAAUAGCUCACUGGUCGAGUGACCCCGCGCCGAAAAUGUACCGGGGCUAAACAUAUUACCGAAACUGUGGAUGAACCUCUUUAGAGGUUCGUGGUAGGAGAGCGUUCUAAGGGCGGUGAAGUCAGACCGGAAGGACUGGUGGAGCGCUUAGAAGUGAGAAUGCCGGUAUGAGUAGCGAAAGAAGGGUGAGAAUCCCUUCCACCGAAUAUCUAAGGUUUCCUGAGGAAGGCUCGUCCGCUCAGGGUUAGUCGGGACCUAAGCCGAGGCCGAUAGGCGUAGGCGAUGGACAACAGGUAGAGAUUCCUGUACCAGUGCUAAUUGUUUAACCGAUGGGGUGACACAGAAGGAUAGGGAAUCGCACGAAUGGAAAUGUGCGUCCAAGCAGUGAGUGUGAGAAGUAGGCAAAUCCGCUUCUCGCGAAG